rnacentral:misc_RNA from 1 species
GGGGGGUUCGUUUCCCAGCAUACGCACCG